CAGUAGCCGCGGUAACACGGAGGGUGCAAGCGUUAUCCGGAUUUAUUGGGUUUAAAGGGUCCGUAGGCGGAUCUGUAAGUCAGUGGUGAAAUCUCACAGCUUAACUGUGAAACUGCCAUUGAUACUGCAGGUCUUGAGUAAAUUUGAAGUGGCUGGAAUAAGUAGUGUAGCGGUGAAAUGCAUAGAUAUUACUUAGAACACCAAUUGCGAAGGCAGGUCACUAAGAUUUAACUGACGCUGAUGGACGAAAGCGUGGGGAGCGAACAGGAUUAGAUACCCCCGUAGUCCCUGUCUCUUAUAA
rnacentral:rRNA from 1 species